rnacentral:RNase_P_RNA from 1 species
CGGUCGCUGCCGCAAGGCAGAGGAAAGUCCGGACUCCGCAGGGCAGAGGGUCCGCUUGUCAAGGGCGGAAGGCGCGAGGCAAUCUCGCGCGAUGGAAAGUGCCACAGAAAACAAACAACGGAAAGUCUGGCGAGCAAGCGAGCGAAGGCAUAUGCCGACGGGAGCGAACUAGCCGGACCCGAAAUGGUGAAAAGGCGGUGUAAGAGACCACCGGCGCGGCUGAAACGACGCGUGCAUGGCAAACCCCCCUCGGAGCAAGAUCAAAUAGGAAGUCGAACGGGCGGCCCGUCCGGCUGGCAUCGCGCAAGCGGAGCCAUUAGACUUCGGGUUGAUUGCUCAGAUGAAUGAUCGGAGUCUUCCGCAAGGGAGAUGAACAGAAUCCGGCUUAUUCGCCG